CUUGAACCAAGGUUUGAUGGUCCAUUCCAAGUCCUAUUGACUACAUCUACCUCUGUAAAGUUGGCCGGGAAGAAUACCUGGAUACACGCCUCGCACUGCAAGAAAGUUCCUGAUCCAGAAGAAGCAGAUUCCGCCAAAUCAUGAGCUUCCUGUGCCUAUUUCUGCUGCUAGGCCUAUUGAAGGCCCAGCAAGUUGCUAUUACCAAAGACAAUCAUGUUUACACAAUUUGGUAUAAUUCUUCAAACACACACGUAGCUACUUUCACCUUUGAUUACUGUGAUAUUGUCUCUUGUACUUUUCCACACUCACAACACUCAGCAAUAUACAAAGACAUACCAAACAAAAAAGGACCUGUAUAUUUGUGUGACAGGUGACCA
rnacentral:lncRNA from 1 species